ACUGACACUCAGAUGCGAAAGCGUGGGGAGCAAACAGGAUUAGAUACCCUGGUAGUCCACGCCGUAAACGAUGUCUACUUGGAGGUUGUGCCCUAGAGGUGUGGCUUUCGGAGCUAACGCGUUAAGUAGACCGCCUGGGGAGUACGGUCGCAAGAUUAAAACUCAAAUGAAUUGACGGGGGCCCGCACAAGCGGUGGAGCAUGUGGUUUAAUUCGAUGCAACGCGAAGAACCUUACCUACUCUUGACAUCCAGAGAAUCUAGCGGAGACGCUGGA
rnacentral:rRNA from 1 species